rnacentral:rRNA from 1 species
GGGUUGUGAGGUUAAGCGACUAAGCGUACACGGUGGAUGCCCAGGCAGUCAGAGGCGAUGAAGGACGUGCUAAUCUGCGAUAAGCGUCGGUAAGGUGAUAUGAACCGUUAUAAC